rnacentral:rRNA from 1 species
AUUGAACGCUGGCGGCAUGCUUUACACAUGCAAGUCGAACGGUAACAGGCCUUCGGGUGCUGACGAGUGGCGCACGGGUGAGUAAUGCAUCGGAACGUACCCAGAGGUGGGGGAUAACGCAGCGAAAGCUGUGCUAAUACCGCAUGUGAUCUGAGGAUGAAAGCGGGGGACCGAGCAGCAAUGUUUGGCCUCGCGCCUUUGGAGCGGCCGAUGUCGGAUUAGCUAGUUGGUGGGGUAAAGGCCUACCAAGGCGACGAUCCGUAGCUGGUCUGAGAGGACGACCAGCCACACUGGGACUGAGACACGGCCCAGACUCCUACGGGAGGCAGCAGUGGGGAAUUUUGGACAAUGGGCGCAAGCCUGAUCCAGCAAUGCCGCGUGCGGGAAGAAGGCCUUCGGGUUGUAAACCGCUUUUGGCAGGAACGAAACGGUGUCCGCUAAUACCGGGCGCUAAUGACGGUACCUACAGAAUAAGCACCGGCUAACUACGUG